GGAUAGCUUAGUUGGUUAGAGUGUGGUGCUGAUAAUACCAAGGUUGCAGGUUUGAUCCCCGUGAGGGACA